rnacentral:lncRNA from 1 species
AGACUACUGACUUGGACCAGCAGGGGAAUGGCUGUGACAAUAAAUAAGAUUGGGAAAACAAGAAGACGCCCUUGCAUACAUUAAGAUAUGUAUAUAUGGAAAUGUUACCGGGAGUCCCGGUUAUCCCAAAAAGGGUUGUUUCCUGUUGCGUGGUGAGGCCAAUGCACGAAACCGAAAGGGAGUGUGUCAAGCAGUGCAGGCUGUAUUCAAUGGCUAUGGAAUUGGAAGAUCUGAAAUCAACUUAGCUUGUGAGAGCUGGGAAGUUUCAGAGGUAGGGUGUCUUUAAUGAAGGGGCUGGGCAUUAAGAGCACGGGGGGGAAUAUUCGUGCUUUCCUUGGGAAAGAACGGAGAUUUUUCCCGGAAUCAAGAAACCCCUUUUUUUCUGUCCCUUCUUGGUCUCUUCCAGUCGUUGUCAUGGCGACAUGUUGUUUAGCAUGAGAACAGGAUGAUGAUAAAGCCAGAGGCUCUUCAGAGGCGCCAUCUUGGAUUUCGCCAGCUUCAGCUGGUUUCGUCCUAAGAAGGAACUUCGAAACACAGGCAUUCUUUUUCCUGAAAAUAAGCAGAGUUACAGCUGAGUAGGAAUUUAGCUCUGUCCCAUAUGCUAUCGCAUUGGGCAGCAAAAGCAGGGUGGGGUCCAGCGAAAUCAGCAGGCACUGCAAUGAGUAACAUACCCAGCCACGUUUAUGCAGCAUUUUUACGAAAAUGAAACCAUACUACCUGUAAAGGAAGAUAUGCUAACAAACAACAAAACUGGCAGGAACCAAGAUUCCUACUGACACUACCCUUAGUUUUAAUUUUCCCUGACAACAAAUGAGGUUAACAGAGCAUAAUUAUCUACCGUGACCCCUUCAAAAAGACAGGCUGUAUACAUUUGCACUAAGAGAAG